rnacentral:rRNA from 1 species
GACGAACGCUGGCGGCGUGCCUAAUACAUGCAAGUCGAGCGGACCGACGGGAGCUUGCUCCCUUAGGUCAGCGGCGGACGGGUGAGUAACACGUGGGUAACCUGCCUGUAAGACUGGGAUAACUCCGGGAAACCGGGGCUAAUACCGGAUGCUUGAUUGAACCGCAUGGUUCCAAUCAUAAAAGGUGGCUUUCAGCUACCACUUACUGAUGGACCCGCGGCGCAUUAGCCAGUUGGUGAGGUAACGGCUCACCAAGGCGACGAUGCGUAGCCGACCUGAGAGGGUGAUCGGCCACACUGGGACUGAGACACGGCCCAGACUCCUACGGGAGGCAGCAGUAGGGAAUCUUCCGCAAUGGACGAAAGUCUGACGGAGCAACGCCGCGUGAGUGAUGAAGGUUUUCGGAUCGUAAAACUCUGUUGUUAGGGAAGAACAAGUACCGUUCGAAUAGGGCGGCACCUUGACGGUACCUAACCAGAAAGCCACGGCUAACUACGUGCCAGCAGCCGCGGUAAUACGUAGGUGGCAAGCGUUGUCCGGAAUUAUUGGGCGUAAAGCGCGCGCAGGCGGUUUCUUAAGUCUGAUGUGAAAGCCCCCGGCUCAACCGGGGAGGGUCAUUGGAAACUGGGGAACUUGAAUGCAGAAGAGGAGAGUGGAAUUCCACGUGUAGCGGUGAAAUGCGUAGAGAUGUGGAGGAACACCAGUGGCGAAGGCGACUCUCUGGUCUGUAACUGACGCUGAGGCGCGA